rnacentral:lncRNA from 1 species
GCGCUUGGGUGCUUGCCUCCAGCUGAUCGUCUGCCUGCACGUCAGGCUCUGGGACACUAGCUUGUGGCGCAGCUUAGAAGGACUCCGCCGCAGGGGAGUUGAGACCAGCCGGACACGGAGCAUUAGAGGAGAUCUCAGCUGAGACAAGAGUGCCUGUGCAGCCAGCCUUUGGGGAUCUCAAAAAGGGCCGUGCAUUGCAAAUGAUGAGAUGGGGGAGGGUUGUGUGCAGUGGUGAAGAGUGAAGUUCAAGGCUCAAGGCAGGAGUUAUGUUGAAAAGCCCGGUUGGAGAGGGCCUCUGGGUACAAGUACCCAGGGCUUGUUUCGACAGAGGUUUCACUAUGAUAGGGAGAAGCAAGACUUUUGUUUGACUUUGAAACCUCUCUUUUGGUGUGAAUUUGAAUUAUACAUAAGGCUAUAAAAUGUAGGUGGGUCUGACAGACAGAAACAUUCCAUAGAAAAAGGACCUUUAGAAGCUGAGUGUGGUGGCAUUCAAGAGGCUAAGGCAGGAAGGCUGCUGUAAGUUCGAUGCCAGCCUGGGUUAUAUAUAGUAAAUCCCAGGUCAGCAUUGGUAACUAGGCUAUUAUAUGUGUGUGAGUGAAGAGUAUGAGGUUGGGUAUUCUAAGGACCUGGAGCCCAAGAGUGGACUCUGCGUCCAUCCUUAGGUUGGCAGUCUUCCAGGCCUCAGUUUCCUCCUCAGGGAAACUGUCUUACUCAUACAAUUGUGUAUUUACAAUAUGUAAAAUCAAAGUGUCCCACAAAUUCAUCCAUCACAUUCCAAGCUGAGACCUAGUCACUUUAUGAGGACAUUAGAAUCAAGAAGUAUAAACCUUGACCAACAAAGGCUAGGAGAGGAGUCUAUGGCAGCAUCAGGAAACCUGGACAUCCUUAGACCUGGAAAACGCAAGCAGCUGAAUCACACCCCACCUAAGGAUACAGCCAGACUUCAGGGAUCACCCAAGGAGGAGCACUGUACAGGCCUCUCACCUGGACCACGAGGCCAUGGCUUGAGAGGAGCUCAGACAGGCUACCCUUGCCAGCUGCAUUCUCCAAUGCCCUUCUCUCAACUCAACACACUCCCCAUCAGGAAGCCACCUUCCCAUGUGGACAUUCCUUCCUAGGAGGAAAGCGUCGACUACGACUACACAUGUGACAGCUUAGCACACAGAGGGCAAGCAAGCUCUCUGUGUGUUUCCUCAUGGGUGUUCUGCUCAACAAGCAAGUCCCUAAUGCAUCAAUCCGUACAGAACUAAACGUAAGUUUAUGGCGAUCUUCUUAUCCCCUGACAUUAGACUGUUUACACCUGGCUGUAACCUUUCAGUAUUUUGAUUCCCACUUUAUAGGCAGGCAAACUAAGGUUACAGAGAGUUAGCCUAACUUGUCCAAGAUGACCCAGCCUCAUCGACUUUAGAUGCUCAUGCAAAAAAGAGACAUGGCUUGUGGGGAGACAUUCUUCAUGGCACACCCAUCCUUUGGAGGACACAGCAAAGCCGGGCUUGGAUUCCUGACGAGUGGAAAUUGUGAGUUAAUGCUGUGUGUUCUUUUAAAUGACUGUAUGUUGAUUUCUUAGGCAGUGAUAGACAAUAGUCUAUCUACAUUGCAGAAACAGUGGCC